GAAUCCACAUCAGUGGAGCUUUGCUGACAGCUAAUGAAGAGGAUUGAGAAGCCACUGUGGCAGCAUCAUGCUGAGUCCUGCUUGGAAUACGAUUCUACACACAAUUGAAAUUGAGUGUAACAAACACAUUGGAAGACAUGAGCAGGAAAAUUCCACUCUUCUGGGAAAGGAACAGCACCCAGUCUCCACCAGCAGCACUCUGUCUUCCAUCAGUAGCACUCAAUCUCCACCAGCAGCACCCAGUCUCCACCAGCAGCACCCAGUCUCCACCAGCAGCACCCAGUCUCCACCAGCAGCACUCUGUCUUCCAUCAGUAGCACUCAAUCUCCACCAGCAGCACCCAGUCUCCACCAGCAGCACCCAGUCUUCCAUCAGCAGCACCCAGUCUCCAUCAGCAGCACCCAGUCUCCAUCAGCAGCACUCAAUCUCCACCAGCAGCACCCAUUCUUCCAUCAGCAGCACCCAGUCUCCACCAGCAGCACCCAUUCUUCCAUCAGCAGCACCCAGUCUCCACCAGCAGCACCCAGUCUUCCGUCAGCAGCACCCAGUCUCCACCAGCAGCACCCAGUCUUCCGUCAGCAGCACCCAGUCUCCACCAGCAGCACCCAGUCUUCCGUCAGCAGCACCCAGUCUCCACCAGCAGCACCCAGUCUUCCGUCAGCAGCACCCAGUCUCCACCAGCAGCACCCAGUCUUCCGUCAGCAGCACCCAGUCUCCACCAGCAGCACCCAGUCUUCCGUCAGCAGCACCCAGUCUCCACCAGCAGCACCCAGUCUCCACCAGCAGCACCCAGUCUCCAUCAGCAGCACUCAGUUUUCCAUCAGCAGCACCCAGUCUCCAUCAGACCAAGAUGGACAGUGGUUGA
rnacentral:lncRNA from 1 species